rnacentral:rRNA from 1 species
AGAGUUUGAUCAUGGCUCAGAACGAACGCUGGCGGCAGGCCUAACACAUGCAAGUCGAGCGCACCUUCGGGUGAGCGGCGGACGGGUUAGUAACGCGUGGGAACGUGCCCAGAUCUGCGGAAUAGCCACUGGAAACGGUGAGUAAUACCGCAUACGCCCUUCGGGGGAAAGAUUUAUCGGAUUUGGAUCGGCCCGCGUUAGAUUAGGUAGUUGGUGGGGUAACGGCCUACCAAGCCUACGAUCUAUAGCUGGUUUUAGAGGAUGAUCAGCAACACUGGGACUGAGACACAGCCCAGACUCCUACGGGAGGCAGCAGUGGGGAGUCUUGGACAAUGGGCGCAAGCCUGAUCCAGCCAUGCCGCGUGAGUGAUGAAGGCCUUAGGGUCGUAAAGCUCUUUCGCCAGGGAUGAUAAUGACAGUACCUGGUAAAGAAACCCCGGCUAACUCCGUGCCAGCAGCCGCGGUAAUACGGAGGGGGUUAGCGUUGUUCGGAAUUACUGGGCGUAAAGCGCGCGUAGGCGGACCAGAAAGUUAGGGGUGAAAUCCCGGGGCUCAACCCCGGAACUGCCUCUAAAACUCCUGGUCUAGAGUUCGAGAGAGGUGAGUGGAAUUCCGAGUGUAGAGGUGAAAUUCGUAGAUAUUCNGAGGAACACCAGUGGCGAAGGCGGCUCACUGGCUCGA